CCCAUCUUUAUUGAAAACAAGCUUAUUUUAUGCACAGACCCCCGCAGAGGGUCUCCAUUCCACCCAAUACACUUCCCUUAGUCCCAGGCAGGAGGGGGCUGGGUUACAGAUAGCCAUCUCCUGCCCUGGUAGAUACCAACAGUACACAGGAAUACACAUGAAAACACAUAACAUUCGGGGGGGUACACUUUGGGGCUCAGCACCCCGGAAGGGAAAGGGUUAAAGGGUUGAAACCUACAUUGCUAGAGAGCCCUGGGUCCCAUCUGGGAUCCCUGCAAAAAGCGGAGUGAUUAGA